rnacentral:rRNA from 1 species
AACGAACGCUGGCGGCAUGCCUAACACAUGCAAGUCGAACGAGACCUUCGGGUCUCGUGGCCCACGGGUGCGUAACGCGUGGGAACCUGCCCUUAGGUUCGGAAUAACUCCCCGACAGGGGUGCUAAUACCGGAUAAUGUCUUCGGACCAAAGAUUUAUCGCCAUUGGAUGGGCCCGCGUUGGAUUAGCUAGUUGGUAGGGUAAAAGCCUACCAAGGCGACGAUCCAUAGCUGGUCUGAGAGGAUGAUCAGCCACACUGGGACUGAGACACGGCCCAGACUCCUACGGGAGGCAGCAGUGGGGAAUAUUGGACAAUGGGCGAAAGCCUGAUCCAGCAAUGCCGCGUGAGUGAUGAAGGCCUUAGGGUUGUAAAGCUCUUUUACCCGGGAUGAUAAUGACAGUACCGGGAGAAUAAGCCCCGGCUAACUCCGUG